rnacentral:rRNA from 1 species
CCGACGGGUGAGUAACACGUAUCCAACCUGCCGUCUACUCUUGGACAGCCUUCUGAAAGGAAGAUUAAUACAAGAUGGCAUCAUGAGUUCACAUGUUCACAUGAUUAAAGGUAUUCCGGUAGACGAUGGGGAUGCGUUCCAUUAGAUAGUAGGCGGGGUAACGGCCCACCUAGUCUUCGAUGGAUAGGGGUUCUGAGAGGAAGGUCCCCCACAUUGGAACUGAGACACGGACCAA